UUUCCCUCAGGAUAGCUGGCACUCGCGUGAGCGAGUCUCAUCUGGUAAAGCGAAUGAUUAGAGGCCUUGGGGCCGAAACGACCUCAACCUAUUCUCAAACUUUAAAUGGGUGAGAUCUCUGGCUUGCUUGAACAUUGAAGCCACGAGAUAUUGAAAUUGGAUCAGAGUGCCAAGUGGGCCAAUUUUGGUAAGCAGAACUGGCGCUGUGGGA
rnacentral:rRNA from 1 species